GCGUGCCUAAUACAUGCAAGUCGUACGCUUCUUUUUCCACCGGAGCUUGCUCCACCGGAAAAAGAAGAGUGGCGAACGGGUGAGUAACACGUGGGUAACCUGCCCAUCAGAAGGGGAUAACACUUGGAAACAGGUGCUAAUACCGUAUAACAAUCGAAACCGCAUGGUUUUGAUUUGAAAGGCGCUUUCGGGUGUCGCUGAUGGAUGGACCCGCGGUGCAUUAGCUAGUUGGUGAGGUAACGGCUCACCAAGGCCACGAUGCAUAGCCGACCUGAGAGGGUGAUCGGCCACAUUGGGACUGAGACACGGCCCAAACUCCUACGGGAGGCAGCAGUAGGGAAUCUUCGGCAAUGGACGAAAGUCUGACCGAGCAACGCCGCGUGAGUGAAGAAGGUUUUCGGAUCGUAAAACUCUGUUGUUAGAGAAGAAUAAGGAUGAGAGUAACUGUUCAUCCCUUGACGGUAUCUAACCAGAAAGCCACGGCUAACUACGUGCCAGCAGCCGCGGUAAUACGUAGGUGGCAAGCGUUGUCCGGAUUUAUUGGGCGUAAAGCGAGCGCAGGCGGUUUCUUAAGUCUGAUGUGAAAGCCCCCGGCUCAACCGGGGAGGGUCAUUGGAAACUGGGAGACUUGAGUGCAGAAGAGGAGAGUGGAAUUCCAUGUGUAGCGGUGAAAUGCGUAGAUAUAUGGAGGAACACCAGUGGCGAAGGCGGCUCUCUGGUCUGUAACUGACGCUGAGGCUCGAAAGCGUGGGGAGCAAACAGGAUUAGAUACCCUGGUAGUCCACGCCGUAAACGAUGAGUGCUAAGUGUUGGAGGGUUUCCGCCCUUCAGUGCUGCAGCUAACGCAUUAAGCACUCCGCCUGGGGAGUACGACCGCAAGGUUGAAACUCAAAGGAAUUGACGGGGGCCCGCACAAGCGGUGGAGCAUGUGGUUUAAUUCGAAGCAACGCGAAGAACCUUACCAGGUCUUGACAUCCUUUGACCACUCUAGAGAUAGAGCUUCCCCUUCGGGGGCAAAGUGACAGGUGGUGCAUGGUUGUCGUCAGCUCGUGUCGUGAGAUGUUGGGUUAAGUCCCGCAACGAGCGCAACCCUUAUUGUUAGUUGCCAUCAUUUAGUUGGGCACUCUAGCAAGACUGCCGGUGACAAACCGGAGGAAGGUGGGGAUGACGUCAAAUCAUCAUGCCCCUUAUGACCUGGGCUACACACGUGCUACAAUGGGAAGUACAACGAGUCGCGAAGUCGCGAGGCUAAGCUAAUCUCUUAAAGCUUCUCUCAGUUCGGAUUGUAGGCUGCAACUCGCCUACAUGAAGCCGGAAUCGCUAGUAAUCGCGGAUCAGCACGCCGCGGUGAAUACGUUCCCGGGCCUUGUACACACCGCCCGUCACACCACGAGAGUUUGUAACACCCGAAGUCGGUGAGGUAACCUUUUGGAGCCAGCCGCCUAAGGUGGGAUAGAU
rnacentral:rRNA from 1 species